rnacentral:lncRNA from 1 species
AAUGUCUCGACAUUUACUUCCUUAAUUUUAUUCAUCGCGUCAUAUAAUUUCCUCCUUUGGUUAUGAUUGGCUGUUACGGUAAAAAUAUAUUAUUCAGUAUGAAUAGGUUAUGUAAAUUAAAAUUUUAAAUUUAAAAUAAGUAAUUGCAAUUAAAGUUUUACCAACCUUUUGCAAACAUUCCUUCAUUGUUGCAUUCUUGAAUUUUGUAUUG